AGAGUUUGAUCCUGGCUCAGGACGAACGCUGGCGGCGUGCCUAACACAUGCAAGUCGAGCGGAGACAGGGAGUAGCUUGCUACGAACUGUUUUAGCGGCGGACGGGUGAGUAACGCGUGAGCAACCUUUCCCAGACAGGGGAAUAACACACCGAAAGGUGUACUAAUACCGCAUAAGACCACGGGAUCACAUGGUUCUGGGGUAAAAGAAUUAUCGGUUUGGGGUGGGCUCGCGUCCGAUUAGGUAGUUGGUGAGGUAACGGCCCACCAAGCCGACGAUCGGUAGCCGACCUGAGAGGGUGAUCGGCCACAUUGGGGACUGAGACACGGCCCAAACUCCUACGGGAGGCA
rnacentral:rRNA from 1 species